UACGUAGGGUGCGAGCGUUGUCCGGAAUUAUUGGGCGUAAAGAGCUCGUAGGCGGUGUGUCACGUCGGCCGUGAAAACCUGCAGCUUAACUGUGGGCGUGCGGUCGAUACGGGCAUCACUGGAGUUCGGCAGGGGAGACUGGAAUUCCUGGUGUAGCGGUGAAAUGCGCAGAUAUCAGGAGGAACACCGGUGGCGAAGGCGGGUCUCUGGGCCGAUACUGACGUUGAGGAGCGAAAGCGUGGGGAGCAAACAGG
rnacentral:rRNA from 1 species